rnacentral:lncRNA from 1 species
UCACCAAUAGUCCUCUACACAUUCCAAUAGUGCCAGGGGCGUAGAAUGGGCCUCACUAGUCUUUCUCUUACAUACAUAACAUAACAUAACAUUCCAUAGUGCCAGGGGCGUAGAAUGGGCCUCACUGGUCUUUCUCUUACAUAGUGCCAGGGGCGUAGAAUGGGCCUCACUGGUCUUCCGUACCGUAUCAUCAUCAUAUCAUAACAUAGGAGGACUAAAGGAUCAUUCAACAUUCAUCCGCAU